UACGUAGGGUGCAAGCGUUGUCCGGAAUUAUUGGGCGUAAAGAGCUCGUAGGCGGUUUGUCGAGUCUGCUGUGAAAACUCAGGGCUUAACCCUGAGCUUGCAGUGGGUACGGGCAGACUAGAGUGCGGUAGGGGAGACUGGAAUUCCUGGUGUAGCGGUGAAAUGCGCAGAUAUCAGGAGGAACACCGGUGGCGGAGGCGGGUCACUGGGCCGUAACUGACGCUGAGGAGCGAAAGCAUGGGGAGCGAACAGG
rnacentral:rRNA from 1 species